AUCCGACUGACGAGUUUCAAAUAGAACGAAACGAGCGUAUUGGAU
rnacentral:hammerhead_ribozyme from 1 species